rnacentral:rRNA from 1 species
GGGGGAUCGGAGCUAACUCCCAACCCCUGUGAACAUACCACUUGUUGCCUCGGCGGAUCAGCCCGCUCCCGGUAAAACGGGACGGCCCGCCAGAGGACCCCUAAACUCUGUUUCUAUAUGUAACUUCUGAGUAAAACCAUAAAUAAAUCAAAACUUUCAACAACGGAUCUCUUGGUUCUGGCAUCGAUGAAGAACGCAGCAAAAUGCGAUAAGUAAUGUGAAUUGCAGAAUUCAGUGAAUCAUCGAAUCUUUGAACGCACAUUGCGCCCGCCAGUAUUCUGGCGGGCAUGCCUGUUCGAGCGUCAUUUCAACCCUCAAGCACAGCUUGGUGUUGGGACUCGCGUUAAUUCGCGUUCCUCAAAUUGAUUGGCGGUCACGUCGAGCUUCCAUAGCGUAGUAGUAAAACCCUCGUUACUGGUAAUCGUCGCGGCCACGCCGUUAAACCCCAACUUCUGAAUGUUGACCUCGGAUCAGGUAGGAAUACCCGCUGAACUUAAGCAUAUCAAAGCCGGGAAGGAA